rnacentral:rRNA from 1 species
GACGCUCACCACUUUGUGGUUCAUGACUGGGGUGAAGUCGUAACAAGGUAGCGCUAGGGGAACCUGGCGCUGGAUCACCUCCUUAUACGA